rnacentral:rRNA from 1 species
CGGACGGGUGAGUAACACGUGGGAACGUGCCUUUAGGUUCGGAAUAGCUCCUGGAAACGGGUGGUAAUGCCGAAUGUGCCCUUCGGGGGAAAGAUUUAUCGCCUUUAGAGCGGCCCGCGUCUGAUUAGCUUGUUGGUGAGGUAAUGGCUCACCAAGGCUACGAUCAGUAGCUGGUCUGAGAGGAUGACCAGCCACAUUGGGACUGAGACACGGCCCAAACUCCUACGGGAGGCAGCAGUGGGGAAUCUUGCGCAAUGGGCGAAAGCCUGACGCAGCCAUGCCGCGUGGAUGAUGAAGGUCUUAGGAUUGUAAAAUCCUUUCACCGGUGAAGAUAAUGACUGUAGCCGGAGAAGAAGCCCCGGCUAACUUCGUGCCAGCAGCCGCGGUAAUACGAAGGGGGCUAGCGUUGCUCGGAAUUACUGGGCGUAAAGGGAGCGUAGGCGGACAUUUAAGUCAGGGGUGAAAUCCCAGAGCUCAACUCUGGAACUGCCUUUGAUACUGGGUGUCUUGAGUGUGAUAGAGGUAUGUGGAACUCCGAGUGUAGAGGUGAAAUUCGUAGAUAUUCGGAAGAACACCAGUGGCGAAGGCGACAUACUGGAUCAUUACUGACGCUGAGGCUCGAAAGCGUGGGGAGCAAACAGGAUUAGAUACCCUGGUAGUCCACGCCGUAAACGAUGAUUGCUAGUUGUCG